UACGUAGGUGGCGAGCGUUGUCCGGAUUUACUGGGCGUAAAGGGAGCGUAGGCGGACUUUUAAGUGAGAUGUGAAAUACCCGGGCUCAACUUGGGUGCUGCAUUUCAAACUGGAAGUCUAGAGUGCAGGAGAGGAGAAUGGAAUUCCUAGUGUAGCGGUGAAAUGCGUAGAGAUUAGGAAGAACACCAGUGGCGAAGGCGAUUCUCUGGACUGUAACUGACGCUGAGGAGCGAAAGCAUGGGGAGCGAACAGG
rnacentral:rRNA from 1 species